UGGGGAAUAUUGCACAAUGGGCGCAAGCCUGAUGCAGCCAUGCCGCGUGUAUGAAGAAGGCCUUCGGGUUGUAAAGUACUUUCAGCGAGGAGGAAGGCGUUGUGGUUAAUAACCGCAACGAUUGACGUUACUCGCAGAAGAAGCACCGGCUAACUCCGUGCCAGCAGCCGCGGUAAUACGGAGGGUGCAAGCGCUAAUCGGAAUUACUGGGCGUAAAGCGCACGCAGGCGGUCUGUCAAGUCGGAUGUGAAAUCCCCGGGCUCAACCUGGGAACUGCAUCCGAAACUGGCAGGCUAGAGUCUUGUAGAGGGGGGUAGAAUUCCAGGUGUAGCGGUGAAAUGCGUAGAGAUCUGGAGGAAUACCGGUGGCGAAGGCGGCCCCCUGGACAAAGACUGACGCUCAGGUGCGAAAGCGUGGGGAGCAAACA
rnacentral:rRNA from 1 species